GAUGAGAACGCAGCGAAAUGCGAUACUUGGUGUGAAUUGCAGAAUCCCGUGAACCAUCGAGUCUUUGAACGCAAGUUGCGCCCGAAGCCAUUAGGCCGAGGGCACGCCUGCCUGGGCGUCACACGUCGUUGCCCCCCCAUCUACUCCUUCGGGAUUGCGGGGGGCGGAUGAUGGCCUCUCGUGCGCCUCGUCGCGCGGUUGGCCUAAAUGCCAAGUCCUCGGCGACGCACGCCACGACAAUCGGUGGUUGCGAAACCUCGGUUGCCUGUCGUGUGCGGUCGUCGCGCAUCGAGGGCUCGAAAAAAUUGCCGGGCUUCGGCUCGACUUUCAACGCGACCCCAGGUCAGGCGGGGUUACCCGCUGAAUUUAAGCAUAUCAAUAAGCGGAGGA
rnacentral:misc_RNA from 1 species